rnacentral:rRNA from 1 species
UAUCAAUAAGCGGAGGAAAAGAAACCAACAGGGAUUGCCCCAGUAACGGCGAGUGAAGCGGCAACAGCUCAAAUUUGAAAUCUGGCCCCUCGGGGUCCGAGUUGUAAUUUGUAGAGGAUGCUUUUGGUGAGGUGCCGCCCGAGUUCCCUGGAACGGGACGCCACAGAGGGUGAGAGCCCCGUCUGGCUGGCCGCCGAGCCUCUGUAAAGCUCCUUCGACGAGUCGAGUAGUUUGGGAAUGCUGCUCAAAAUGGGAGGUAUAUGUCUUCUAAAGCUAAAUAUUGGCCAGAGACCGAUAGCGCACAAGUAGAGUGAUCGAAAGAUGAAAAGCACCUUGAAAAGAGGGUUAAAUAGUACGUGAAAUUGUUGAAAGGGAAGCGCUUGUGACCAGACUUGGGCGCGGCGGAUCAUCCGGGGUUCUCUCCGGUGCACUUCGCCGCGUCUGGGCCAGCAUCAGUUCGUCGCGGGGGAAAAAGGCUUCGGGAACGUGGCUCCUCCGGGAGUGUUAUAGCCCGUUGCAUAAUACCCUGCGGUGGACUGAGGACCGCGCAUCUGCAAGGAUGCUGGCGUAAUGGUCACCAGCGACCCGUCUUGAAACACGGACCAAGGAGUCGUCUUCGUAUGCGAGUGUUCGGGUGUCAAACCCCUACGCGUAAUGAAAGUGAACGCAGGUGAGAGCUUCGGCGCAUCAUCGACCGAUCCUGAUGUUCUCGGAUGGAUUUGAGUAAGAGCAUACGGGGCCGGACCCGAAAGAAGGUGAACUAUGCCUGUAUAGGGUGAAGCCAGAGGAAACUCUGGUGGAGGCUCGCAGCGGUUCUGACGUGCAAAUCGAUCGUCAAAUAUGGGCAUGGGGGCGAAAGACUAAUCGAACCUUCUAGUAGCUGGUUUCC